AUGCGUGUGAUUUCUUGUGCCUCUGUAGAUGAGUUACCAGAGAGUAUUGGCAACUGGAAGCAUCUUCGGUACCUUGAAAUCUGCAGAGCUGGUCUUCUCAUGAAAAGGCUUCCUUCAACUUUGUGUUGGCUAUAUCAUCUGCAGAUUUUAUAUGCCAAGAAAUGCAAGCUAGAAAACUUGCCCGAUGACUUUGGUAAGUUGACUAGUUUGCAGAAAUUCGAAUCAGAUGGAUUAACAUAUUAUGCUGGGGGUCAAAUGACUUUUGAUCUAGAAAAAUGUGAGGAGGGAAAACGUAUAAGUUUAAUAAAGAAACUUAAUCAGUUUCGCGGACACUUGAAGAUAGCUAAUGGUGGCAUGCUAAGUAAGGAUCAGGCAGCAGAAGCUGAACUAAAGAAUAAGAAAUAUCUUGAUGAGUUGACACUGAAUAUGAAUUCACAGAGGUCUCAAACCAUCCAGGAGAAUGUGAUAGAAGUGCUUGAAGUUCUGCAACCUCCUAUCAGUCUCAAGUCUCUGUUGCUCCAGAAUUAUGCUGGUGUCUCACUCCCAAGCUGGCUUUUGCCACAAAAUUUGCCAAGCUUAAAAUCACUUACUUUUGCAGGUUGUUUUGAACUCAAGAGCAUAUCAUAUCCCGUGAUCUCACAGGGCAUAAACUUAAAUGAGAUACCUGCAGUUGGUAUUUUCCUCUCCCUGGCAGAUGUAACCAUUGAUGGGUGCAGGAAUAUAUCAAGCCUCGAACAGUUUCUAUGCUCAGAUUAUGUGCCAGCCAUCAAGAAAAUAAGAAUCGAACAUUGUGAGAUGUUAGCAUCAGUACCAGCUCACCUUACUUCACACGGGGAAGGCGCGGGUGAGGGAUAG
rnacentral:rRNA from 1 species